GCACUGCCUCCCCAUCUCCGCCGCCUUUCUCAGCUCCCGCCGACAUGAGGACUACCGUGGUGGUGUUGGUGCUGCUGGUGGCCGCGGCUUGGGCCGUGCCGUACCCGCAGCCGCUGCCGUACCCCGUGGCGGUCGCCGCCGCCGCCCCCGCCGCCACCCCCGCCGCCCAGCCGGCGCCGCCGCAGCCCCGCGAGUCGCUCAAGGGCAGCGAGUCCAUCGGCUGGCCCGUCUUCGGCUACCCCUGGGUCGUGGUCGGCUGAUCCCCGCUACCAACCACUCCGCAACACGGCAAGACGACCCGGCGACACCUUGCAGACGCUGUAUCAACACGCACUAACGUUCAUCUGUACAUCGCCUAAUAAAUACUUCUUCCUUACGUAAAACAAAUCGGA